CAGCCGCCGCGGUAAUACAGAGGGUGCAAGCGUUAAUCGGAUUUACUGGGCGUAAAGCGUGCGUAGGUGGCUGUUUAAGUCGGAUGUGAAAGCCCUGGGCUUAACCUGGGAACUGCAUUCGAUACUGGAUAGCUAGAGAUCGGUAGAGGGCAGCGGAAUUCCGGGUGUAGCGGUGAAAUGCGUAGAUAUCCGGAGGAACACCGAUGGCGAAGGCAACUGCCUGGGCCUGAUCUGACACUGAGGCACGAAAGCGUGGGUAGCAAACAGGAUUAGAUACCCCCGUAGUCCCUGUCUCUUAUAA
rnacentral:rRNA from 1 species